rnacentral:rRNA from 1 species
GACGAACGCUGGCGGUGUGCUUAACACAUGCAAGUCGAACGGAAAGGCCCUGCGUUUGUGGGGUGCUCGAGUGGCGAACGCGUGAGUAACACGUGAGUAACCUGCUCUUCUCUUUCGGAUAACUUCAGGAAACUGGGGUUACUAUCGGAUAGGAGCCCCUGCUCCAGGGUGGGGGUUGGAUCGUUUCGGCGUUUGGGGUUGGAGUCGCAGCUUAUCAGCUUGCUGGUGGGGUAGUGGCUUACCAAGGCUUUGACGGGUAGCCGGCCUGGGAGGGUGACCGGGCCCAUUGGGACUGGGAUGCGGCCCAGACGCCUACGGGGGGCAGCGGUGGGAGCUAUUGCACACUGGGCGGAGGCCGGGAGCAGCGACGCCGCGUGGGGGAUGACGGCCUUCGGGUAGUAAACGGCUUUCGCCUGUGACGAGGCGUGAGGGAGGGUAAUAAGUAAAGAAGCACCGGCUAACUACGU